rnacentral:lncRNA from 1 species
AAUCAAUCAAUCAUCAAUCUUUUUUUUAAGGAAACAAAAAACAAGUAUAUAUUAAAAAGUAUUUUUAUCUUUUAGGUAUCUGUGGGUUGUCUGGGUUCAGAUGGACAAUUUUUGCUUGAUAUUUCUCAUGGAGCUGCAGCCAAUUGUCUGUUAAGUCUUCAGCAGUUAUGAGAAAGCUUGACUAAGCUGGAUAUCCAAGAGGGUUCGCUCACAUGUCUGGCAGUGAAUGUCAACCAUCAGCUGAGGUGGAGAGCUUCUCCAGCGUCUUCCCUCUUCCUUCAAAUCCUCCUUUCCCCAGUAUUUGUCAUCCACCUGAGGAGUUGGGUAUGGAGGCCAUGCACUCUGAUUUCAUGUGUUUCCCUAGGUGGCUAUCUCUUACACUGCCUAAACACUCUACUAUGAUGGAUUUCUAACUGAAAACUGAAAUACCACCUUGAUUUCUUUAUAUAUUGUUAGUGAAAUCAAUCUUAACAAUAUUUGACUUUUGUACGUUUAAUCCACGUAAAUAUUAAUUAUACAAUUCAGGAAGUUUUUACAUAUCUAUAUAGACACAAAACCUCCAUUCAGAUCAAGAUAUGAAACAAUUCCAUAACCUCAUAUUUCCACAUUUCGCUUUCCAAUCAAUAUUUCCAUCCCAUCCUCAACUCAAGGCAGUAACUAUUCCGAUUUCUGUUAUUAAAGCUUAAUGUUGAGUGGAAUUUAAAGUCUUUCCCUUACUCAGUUCACAAUGCAGAUAACUUCCUAAAAUGCAGGGAUUAUAAACUGCAAGGUAUUCCUCUUCAAAAAGCCCAACAACCUAAAAAUAUAACCUAUUGAAAACAACAGUGGUGAUCCAUUUUUCAAAAGAUGACUCCCCAAUGAAGAAUUCUUCCCCCUUGAUAUAGAAUUCUUAAUAGAUAGUUUUGAGAUGCCUGGGUGGCUCAGUGGUUAAGUGCCUGCCUUCAGCUCAGGGUGUGAUCCUGGAGUCCCAGGAUCGAGUCCCACAUUGGGCUCCCUGCUUGGAGCCUGCUUCUCCUUCUGCCUCUCUCUUUCUGUGUCUCUCAUGAA